rnacentral:rRNA from 1 species
CUUAGAAGCAGCCACUCAUUUAAAGAGUGCGUAAUAGCUCACUGGUCGAGUGAUUCUGCGCCGAAAAUUUCCGGGGCUAAAACUUACUACCGAAGCUACGGCAUCAUUAUGAUGGGUAGGGGAGCUUUCUAUGUGGCUUGAAGCAUGACCGUAAGGACAUGUGGACUGCAUAGAAGUGAGAAUGUUGGCAUGAGUAGCGAGAUGUGGGUGAGAAUCCCACAGGCCGUAAACCCAAGGUUUCCAGGGGAAGGUUCGUCCGCCCUGGGUUAGUCGGGACCUAAGCCGAGGCCGAAAGGCGUAGGUGAUGGACAACAGGUUGAUAUUCCUGUACCGCCAAUAAGCGUUUGAGAGAUGGAGUGACACAGUAGGAUAAGCUAACCGUACUGUUGGUUAUGUACGGCUAAGCAUUGAGGCAGUCUAAAUAGGCAAAUCCGUUUAGACAAUGCUAGGAUGUGAUGGGGAAGCCCUUCGGGGCGAAGUAGCUGAUUUCACACUGUCAAGAAAAGCUUCUAUCGAGUUUAAAGGCGCCCGUACCGUAAACCGACACAGGUGGGUGAGGAGAGUAUCCUAAGGCCAGCGAGAGAACUAUUGUUAAGGAACUCGGCAAAAUGACCCCGUAACUUAGGGAGAAGGGGUGCCUGUCUAUGACAGGCCGCAGAGAAUAGGCCCAAGCGACUGUUUACCAAAAACACAGGUUUCUGCUAAGUCGCAAGACGAUGUAUAGGAGCUGACGCCUGCCCGGUGCUGGAAGGUUAAGGGGAUCUGUUAGAGCAAUCGAAGCAGUGAACUUAAGCCCCAGUAAACGGCGGCCGUAACUAUAACGGUCCUAAGGUAGCGAAAUUCCUUGUCGGGUAAGUUCCGACCCGCACGAAAGGCGUAACGAUUUGGGCACUGUCUCAACAAUAGACUCGGUGAAAUUGUAAUCCCGGUGAAGAUGCCGGGUACCUGCGACAGGACGGAAAGACCCCAUGGAGCUUUACUGUAGCUUGACGUUGGGUCUUGGUACUACAUGUACAGGAUAGGUGGGAGACUAUGAAGCAUGGACGCCAGUCUGUGUGGAGUCAUCCUUGGGAUACCACCCUUGUAGUACUGGGAUCCUAACCAUAGGCCUUGAAUCAGGUCUUGGAACACCGUCAGGUGGGCAGUUUGACUGGGGCGGUCGCCUCCUAAAAAGUAACGGAGGCGCUCAAAGGUUUCCUCAGCACGGUCGGAAAUCGUGCGAAGAGUGUAAAGGCAAAAGGAAGCUUGAUUGCAAGACAUACAGGUCGAGCAAGGACGAAAGUCGGACUUAGUGAUCCGGUGGUUCCGCAUGGAAGGGCCAUCGCUCAACGGAUAAAAGCUA